rnacentral:ncRNA from 2 species
AUGUGCAAAAGAGGCCGCGGUUCGUCAAGAGUACUACUUAGUAGGAAAGGGGCAAUCGCCGAAAUAUACGAUUUGUGUAUAUUGGGGUCAUGCUGAAUAAGUAUGGCACUGCUAUUAACGUGUUACCCAACCUUUAAUAGAGCACUUUACACAUU